rnacentral:tRNA from 1 species
AGCAGUGUGGCUCAGUGGAAAGAGCACGGGCUUGGGAGUCAGAGGUCUAGGGUUCUAAUCCCAGAUCUGCUA